UACGUAGGUGGCAAGCGUUGUCCGGAUUUAUUGGGUUUAAAGGGUGCGUAGGCGGCCUUGUAAGUCAGUGCUGAAAUAUCCCGGCUUAACCGGGAGGGUGGCAUUGAUACUGCAGGGCUUGAGUAAAGUUGAGGUUGGCGGAAUUGACGGUGUAGCGGUGAAAUGCUUAGAUAUCGUCAAGAACACCGAUAGUGAAGACAGCUAACUCAGCUUUAACUGACGCUGAGGCACGAAAAGUGUGGGGAGCAAACAGG
rnacentral:rRNA from 1 species